UGAGCAGAACUGAAUCAUGGGAGACUGGAAUGGAGUCACUCUUCCAUUUUUAUGAGCUCAGGGAGGAGUCAAAAGAAAAAGCGAUUUAUCUGUGUGGCUUCUUACAGACACUGAAAUGAGAGAGACAUUGGAAGCUCAGGUAGAACAGCAAAAUGCUGGAAGAAACAGAAUUAAGAUGGACGGAAACAUUAGGCUUCAAUAACAGGGCAGAACUCCAAUCUCAACUUGACUUUGCCUCAGAUGCUCUAUAUGCCACCCUCCAGGCUUCCUGUCCUUUUCCUGACCCCCAAGGCUCUGGAAUUCGAUUUUUACAGGGUCUUGGCAAUAUAAUUGUCUCCACUUGUUGCUGCUGCUGCUGUCACUGUGGCUGCCAGCUGCUGCCUGUGAAGAAUUAGGAUCCAGCAAUGAUUCCUACAUAAUUGAAAUAAAUUCCCAGGCUAAGGACGUUACCGUUCGGGAAAUAAGCUUUCUGAUAGAGUAUCUAAAAAGUCAUACCAGGGAACUGUUGCAAGUCACACUAAUGCUGGCGUUUAUCUGAGAGGCAGUUUGGAAUGAUGGAAUAAACAAUGGACUGAGAAUCAGAAGAAUUCCGCCACUUCCUACCCGUAUAUGCCUGGAGACAAGACACUUGGCCACCUUGUCUCGUUUUUCCUCAU